rnacentral:rRNA from 1 species
AUUGAACGCUGACGGCAGGCCUAACACAUGCAAGUCUAACGAGUGGCGGACGGGUGAGUAAUGUCUGGGAAACUGCCCGAUGGAGGGGGAUAACUACUGGAAACGGUAGCUAAUACCGCAUACUAUCGGAUGUGCCCAGAUGGGAUUAGCUAGUGGGUGGGGUAACGGCUCACCUAGGCGACGAUCCCUAGCUGGUCUGCGAGGAUGACUAGCCAAACUGAAACUGAGACACGGUCCAGACUCCGACGGGAGGCAGCAGUGGGGAAUAUUGCACAAUGGGCGCAAGCCGGCUGCAGCAAUGCCGCGGGUAUGAAGAAGGCCUUCGGGUUGUAAAGUACUUUCAGCGGGGAGGCGUUACUCGCAGAAGAAGCACCGGCAAACUCCGUGCCAGCCGCCGCGGUAAUUC